GCGGGCGUGGCGGAACGGCAGACGCGCUGGACUUAGGAUCCAGUGGGGCACACCCGUGGGGGUUCAAAUCCCUUCGCCCGCACCA
rnacentral:tRNA from 2 species